rnacentral:rRNA from 3 species
CGACCGCGACCCCAGGUCAGACGGGAUUACCCGCUGAGUUUAAGCAUAUCAAUAAGCGGUGGAGAAG